rnacentral:rRNA from 1 species
GACGAACGCUGGCGGCGUGCCUAACACAUGCAAGUCGAGCGAUUGAAGUUCCUUCGGGAAUGGAUUUAGCGGCGGACGGGUGAGUAACACGUGGGCAACCUGCCUCAUAGAGGGGAAUAGCCUCCCGAAAGGGAGAUUAAUACCGCAUAAGAUUGUAGUACCGCAUGAUACAGCAAUUAAAGGAGCAAUCCGCUAUGAGAUGGGCCCGCGGCGCAUUAGCUAGUUGGUGAGGUAAUGGCUCACCAAGGCGACGAUGCGUAGCCGACCUGAGAGGGUGAUCGGCCACAUUGGGACUGAGACACGGCCCAGACUCCUACGGGAGGCAGCAGUGGGGAAUAUUGCACAAUGGGGGAAACCCUGAUGCAGCAACGCCGCGUGAGUGAUGACGGCCUUCGGGUUGUAAAGCUCUGUCUUCAGGGACGAUAAUGACGGUACCUGAGGAGGAAGCCACGGCUAACUACGUG